rnacentral:lncRNA from 1 species
CUGUCAUCUUCCACCUUCUCCAGGACCUCCUUCACCACCUUGAAGUCUAAACCCCCGGCCAAAACCAGCUUCCCAAGAACCUCACCGAAGUUAUUUGGUGCUUUUGGUAAAUCAAUGCCAACAUCAUCCAACAGUGAGCCAUAGAGGAGACAUCCAGUCCCUAAAUCCCUAGCCAGCAAAACAUUUUUAUUGAACAAGUACACAAGAAGCUUUAUGACUGGUUCUACACAAGGUGGACUCUUUUCCAG